CUGGAAAACUAUAGAAAUCCAAAAGCGUGUUUUCUGAAAGGCCAUUAUUGAAGCGUUGAUCCAGACGGAAGGACUUUCCUCUCCAAAAGCAGAACAGAAAUUCCUCGAUGGUCCAGUAUACACGCAGAGUGAAAGAGAAGAAUUUGACAUCUGGAUUUCGGAGAGCAUGUUGAAGGAGGGAAAGCACUACUAAGGAAAUGGAAGCUUUGGAAGUACAGAAUCCUCACCACAUGGUGCUGUGGUGUGUGUUUUGUUGUUUGGUUUGGUGUGUGUGUUUUAUUAUGAAUUAACUAUUUUUGUGAC